GCGAAAAUAAAAACAUCAAUGACUUAAAUGCAGAUAAUUUAAUCAAACUCAUAAAUACCCCCAAAGUCUGAUUGUCACGUGUACACGCCACUAAUGUAAUACAACUGAAUUGAAAUGAAAUACAAGUCUCAAUGUCCUUGUUUCUAGAAUAGACCAAGAACAUAAGUAAAGGAACAAGAGGGCCUAUUAAAGUUACACGCAACUAC
rnacentral:lncRNA from 1 species